CCAAGAGUUGCCAUGAACCAGGACUGAGACAAGGAGCCAGAGCCAUACACGGAGCCCCCCAAGGCCACUGUGGAUUUGUUCAUCACGGAUGAAGAUUUGAAUAUUACUGGACCAGGAAUGUCACUGCAAGCUUUUGUGGGCAUGCUUGAAUGGCACACUACGCUCUUUGGUCAGAGUGGCAAGAUAUGUGGAGACACCAUGCAGAAAUCAUUCUUGGAAUGGUCUUAUGCAAAAUUUGAGGUUGAGAGGUUGUCUCAGGUGCAUCAAUUUCAGUGCCCCACAUGCACACCCUCCAUGUUGGCUGUUGCAGUAGAUGGGAACCACAAGCUUUACCGCUUUAAAAGGCAACUGGGACCUAAUGGAUCUUUUUGGCCAAGGAUGCUAAGGUGACCUCCUUUGUUGACUACAUUCAUGGGACAACACAUGUAAAGUUUAUUUCCAUUUCUUGUUUUUACUUAUAUGCCUAAGAGCUUGCACUGACCAAUUGGCCCUGAUCUUCACUUGGAUCUUGAACAAGUCAUUAGACCUGUGUGAAUUUCCUUUAUGCUUCAAAUGGUCCACCAACAUCCUGUCUUAAAGAAAUGCACCAUCAUGGAGUUAAAUAACUACAGGCCUGUUGCCCUGAUGUGUGUGGUCAUGACAUCCUUUGAGCGACUGGUGUUGAAGCAUCUGAAUGUCACAGGCCCCCUGCUGGACCCCCUGUAGUUUACUUACUGGGCAAACAGGUCAGCAGAUGAUG